AUUGAACGCUGGCGGCAGGCCUUACACAUGCAAGUCGAGCGGCUGCAGGGAGCUUGCUCUUGGAUUCAGCGGCGGACGGGUGAGUAAUGCCUAGGAAUCUGCCUGGUAGUGGGGGAUAACGUCCGGAAACGGGCGCUAAUACCGCAUACGACCUGAGGGAGAAAGCGGGGGAUCUUCGGACCUCACGCUAUCAGAUGAGCCUAUGUCGGAUUAGCUAGUUGGUGGGGUAAAGGCCUACCAAGGCGACGAUCCGUAACUGGUCUGAGAGGAUGAUCAGUCACACUGGAACUGAGACACGGUCCAGACUCCUACGGGAGGCAGCAGUGGGGAAUAUUGGACAAUGGGCGAAAGCCUGAUCCAGCCAUGCCGCGUGUGUGAAGAAGGUCUUCGGAUUGUAAAGCACUUUAAGUGGGGAGGAAAGGCAGUAAGUUAAUACCUUGCUGUGUUGACGGUACCAACAGAAUAAGCACCGGCUAACUUCGUG
rnacentral:rRNA from 1 species